UCUGUGGUUCACCCACAAUCCAGCAUCACCAAGAGAUCACUAGUGAACUCUUCUCGGGUCUGAGCACCAAGAUGACAGCUACAGAGGCUUCAGUGGAAAUGUUAAAAACAGACCUUAGAUUCACAGAUGGACUGGAAAAAGCUGAACCUGAUUCUUUGAUAUCAUCAUCAUGGAUCAGGUCAUUGCUGGGUUGAAUGGGAUACAGCUGUGGGGAUAAAAAGCUGCUCAUACAGAGGACCAGCAUGGGAUCCAAGAACACCAAGCUGAGCACCAGCAAUCAGACACCAGUGAUGCUGUAGGUGCCUGGCCUGAUGAGCUCACAGGUAAAAGUCUUCAAGAAAAGUUUCUAGCAGUUAUAUAUCCUGUAACUCCUAUCAAAAUUUAUUCGUGCUUUUCUAUUAUCUCAGUCCUAAUUUCAAAUGUCAUUGCACUUGCUGUAAUUUUGUCACAAAAAAAUAAGGAGCAGACCUUAGAGAACUCUGUGUUGUCUUCCUGCCCAAAAGAUUGGAUAGCAUUUGGAAGCCAGUGUUUAUAUUUUGCUGAAGAUAUGGGGAAUUGGACAUUCAGCCAGACCUUUUGCGCUAACUUUGAAGCCGGUAUUGGUCAGUUUGAAAGCCAGGAGGAACUGCAGAAUUUCCUGAAAAGAUAUAAAGGUCUUUCUGAUUAUUGGACUGGCCUUAACAGAAAAGCAUCAUAUCACAUAUGGAAGUGGACAAACAACACUAAAUGUAAAACCUGAUUUUAGGUUUUCCAUCAAAGGAUUUGGAGGAUGUACCUACCUGAAUGGUAAUGGGAUCAGCAGUGCCAGGAACUACACAGAGAGUGUCGUUACACCCUCUCUUCCACAAAAAAAUCUUAAUUAAGCUUCUCCAGAAACCCUUACCAUAAUUAUUCUUAGACUUUUGGCAAAAAUUCCUGCAAAAGAAUUCUCAGGUGAAGGUAUGUUUGCAGAAGCAUUGUGAGAUAAGACUUAUCCAAGGCCUUCACAGAAACAUUCGCAUUUUAAAAAAAGUCUGGCCAAGACUGUCCAUGGGCAGGGAGAACCUAGGCUACAACAAACCCCACCACUACAGCCCACCACUGGUGCUGAAAGUUGGAGCAAGUGAAGCCAGAAUUAGACAGGCAGUCAUUGUAGAUAGGUAGAUCGAGUCAGUUGGGUCUUGGAGGCUAAUUUUGAGUGAGUCUGGGAAGUUGAAGACUGUGUUACCCCUUCCUCACCCCCAGAGAUCUUAUCAAGAACCUGCCCC